rnacentral:lncRNA from 1 species
CAUAUUCCAGUGGAUCCAACUCAAUGUAUAUUGCAGUUGCCAUUCUGAAUAAUUUUACUCUAUCCAGAUAUAGUCAGGUUCUACCAUGAUUUCCAGUUCUGGUAUGGACCGUUACAUAUCUGGAAAAUCAUAUAGAGAGAAGUGAAUCUGAUGAGAUGGGUUUUCCAUUUCGUCUUUUAUGCUUCUCUUGAAAGGUGUCCAUCGUUGCCCAGUAAUAUAACUCGUUAUUAUUUGAGCUACAUCUGGACUCUACAUUCAUCAACACAAAUAAUAUACAGUCUUGUACAUUUUGUAGAUUUGCUUUUUUAUUAAUCUGGUUAACGUUUUUCAGAAUAAUGCUUCAUUUUUA